rnacentral:misc_RNA from 1 species
UCAUCGCUCGCGGAACGCGCGUGUCAUGCUGUCGUGGAUCGGCUUCACGAUGUACUGAAAGAACGUUCGUUCAGUCGUCUUGACGUAGACUUCCGCCGGCAUACCUGGCGUCGGGCUGAAACCCGGGAUUGNNNNNUUCCUCAUUAUUCAGCUUGACGCGGAUGAUAUAGAUGUCCGUCGGCCCAACUUGUUGGGAUUUUUUCUCGUCGGCCAGCGUAUCGGCUGAAAGAUAGAUGACUUCU